UUGGUCCUACGGGAGGCAGCAGUGGGGGAUAUUGCACAAUGGGGGGAACCCUGAUGCAGCGACGCCGCGUGGGUGAAGAAGCGCCUCGGCGCGUAAAGCCCUGUCAGCAGGGAAGAAAAUGACGGUACCUGAAGAAGAAGCCCCGGCUAACUACGUGCCAGCAGCCGCGGUAAUACGUAGGGGGCAAGCGUUAUCCGGAUUUACUGGGUGUAAAGGGGGCGCAGACGGCGAUGCAAGCCAGGGGGGAAAGCCCGGGGCCCAACCCCGGGACUGCUCUUAGAACUGCGUGGCUGGGGUGCAGGAGG
rnacentral:rRNA from 1 species